GGGCACUUGGCACAGUUGGUAGCGCGCACGCUUCGCAUCACAAGAUUGCGUGAGGUCGUGGGUUCAACUCCCACAGUGUCCA